GUCAAGCUACAAAGGGCGCAUGGUGAAUGCCUUGGCAUCAGGAGCCGAUGAAGGACGUGAUAAGCUGCGAUAAGCUUCGGGUAGGCGCACAUAGCCUGAGAUCCGAAGAUCUCCGAAUGAGGAAACUCACAUGGGAAACCCCAUGUAUCAUUAAGUGAAUACAUAGCUUAAUGAAGGUAACCCAGGGAACUGAAACAUCUAAGUACCUGGAGGAAGAGAAAGAAAAAUCGAUUUUCUUAGUAGCGGCGAGCGAAAGGGAAAGAGCCCAAACCGGAAACUUGUUUCCGGGGUUGUGGACAUAGCAUGAAAGUGGAGGCUAUUGUAACUGAAGAGAACUGGAAAGUUCCACCGUAGAAGGUAAUAGUCCUGUAAGUGAAACGAGAAGACCACGAGUUAUGAUCCAGAGUACCACGAGACACGUGAAACCUUGUGGGAAGCAGGGAGGACCACCUCCCAAGGCUAAAUACUACCUGAUGACCGAUAGUGAAGCAGUACCGUGAGGGAAAGGUGAAAAGAACCCCGGGAGGGGAGUGAAAUAGAACCUGAAACCGUGUGCCUACAACCGCUCAGAGCCCCUUAUGAGGGUGAUGAGGUGCUUUUUGUAGAACGAGCCAACGAGUUACGGUAUGUAGCAAGGUUAAGUACUUAAGGUACGGAGCCGAAGGGAAACCGAGUCUGAAUAGGGCGACUAGUUGCAUGCCGUAGACCCGAAACCGGGUGACCUAUCCAUGGCCAGGUUGAAGCGAGGGUAAAACCUCGUGGAGGACCGAACCACGUUGCUGUUGAAAAAGCAUGGGAUGAGCUGUGGAUAGCGGAGAAAUUCCAAUCGAACCCGGAGAUAGCUGGUUCUCUCCGAAAUAGCUUUAGGGCUAGCGUCGAGUAUGAGUAGUGGAGGUAGAGCACUGAAUGGGCUAGGGGGCAUAGCGCUUACCGAACCUUAUCAAACUCCGAAUGCCACAUACUUUGAGCUCGGCAGUCAGACUACGAAUGAUAAGAUCCGUGGUCAAAAGGGAAACAGCCCAGAUCGUCAGCUAAGGUCCCAAAGUGUAAGUUAAGUGGGAAAGGAUGUGAGAUUUCUAAGACAACUAGGAUGUUGGCUUAGAAGCAGCCAUUCAUUAAAAGAGUGCGUAAUAGCUCACUAGUCGAGAGAUCUUGCGCCGAAAAUGUAACGGGGCUAAACUUACCACCGAAGCUACGGGCUUGAACUUAGUUCAAGCGGUAGGAGAGCGUCGUAACCGGGCUGAAGUCGUACCGUAAGGAGCGGUGGACUGGUUACGAGUGAGAAUGUUGGCAUCAGUAGCGAGAUGUGGGUGAGAAUCCCACAGGCCGAAAACCUAAGGUUUCCUCAGGAAGGUUCGUCCGCUGAGGGUUAGUCGGGACCUAAGCCGAGGCCGAAAGGCGUAGGUGAUGGACAACUGGUUGAUAUUCCAGUACCACUACCAUCGUUAUUAUCGAUGGCGUGACGCAGGAGGAUAGUGUGUGCUAGCUAUUGGAUGCUAGUCUAAGCGUUUAGGCAGUGAGAGUAGGCAAAUCCGCUCUCAUAAUGCUGAGGCGUGAUGGGGAAGGUUCUACGGAACCGAAGUACAUGAUUCCACGCUGCCAAGAAAAGCGUCUAGAGAGAGAAGUAGUGCCCGUACCGCAAACCGACACAGGUAGGUGAGGAGAGAAUCCUAAGGCCGGCGGAAGAAUUACAGUUAAGGAACUCGGCAAAUUGACCCCGUAAGUUCGCGAGAAGGGGUGCCUACGAGAGUAGGCCGCAGAGAAUAGGCCCAAGCAACUGUUUAGCAAAAACACAGGUCUCUGCUAAAGCGUAAGCUGAUGUAUAGGGGCUGACGCCUGCCCGGUGCUGGAAGGUUAAGGGGAACACUUAGCGCAAGCGAAGGUGUGAACUUAAGCCCCAGUAAACGGCGGCCGUAACUAUAACGGUCCUAAGGUAGCGAAAUUCCUUGUCAGGUAAGUUCUGACCCGCACGAAUGGCGUAAUGACUUGGGCACUGUCUCAACUGUAAAUCCGGCGAAGUUGUAGUGCGAGUGAAGAUGCUCGCUACCCGCGAUUGGACGGAAAGACCCCGUAGAGCUUUACUGUAGCUUAGCAUUGAGUUUUGGUAUUGUCUGUACAGGAUAGGUGGGAGACUAGGAAACCAGGGCGUCAGCCUUGGUGGAGUCAACCUUGGGAUACCACCCUGACAGUACUGAAAUUCUAACUGGCGGCCAUGAAUCUGGUCACAGGACAUUGUUAGGUGGGCAGUUUGACUGGGGCGGUCGCCUCCUAAAAAGUAACGGAGGCGCCCAAAGGUUCCCUCAGAACGGUCGGAAAUCGUUCGAAGAGUGCAAAGGCAGAAGGGAGCCUGACUGCGACACCCACAAGUGGAGCAGGGACGAAAGUCGGGCUUAGUGAUCCGGUGGUACCUCGUGGGAGGGCCAUCGCUCAACGGAUAAAAGCUACCUCGGGGAUAACAGGCUGAUCUCCCCCAAGAGUCCACAUCGACGGGGAGGUUUGGCACCUCGAUGUCGGCUCGUCGCAUCCUGGGGCUGAAGUAGGUCCCAAGGGUUGGGCUGUUCGCCCAUUAAAGCGGCACGCGAGCUGGGUUCAGAACGUCGUGAGACAGUUCGGUCCCUAUCCGUCGCGGGCGUAGGAAAUUUGAGAGGAGCUGUCCUUAGUACGAGAGGACCGGGAUGGACUGACCUCUGGUGUACCAGUUGUUCCGCCAGGAGCACAGCUGGGUAGCUAAGUCGGGAAUGGAUAAACGCUGAAAGCAUCUAAGCGUGAAGCCAACCUCAAGAUGAGAUUUCCCAUAGCGUAAGCUAGUAAGAUCCCUUGAAGAACACAAGGUUGAUAGGUCGGGGGUGUAAGCAUGGUAACAUGUUCAGCUGACCGAUACUAAUAGAUCGAGGGCUUGAC
rnacentral:rRNA from 1 species